CACAACCCCCACGCCGCUCCCUCCUCCCUCCCUCAGCCGCCUCCAUGCUCCCUCCCACCUUCUCCUCCUCCUCCUUCUCCGCCUAGGAGCCUCGCCGCCGACGGCUACUCCUCCACCGCCUCGCCUCUUCCUCCUUCUCGCCUUCCCAUCGCUCGCGCGCAGGUCACCCGACGGCAGGGGUGGUCAUGAAGGCUUCCCAGACUGACGGAGGAGCACGCCGCCGCCGCACGCCGCCCGUCCCGACGCGCGUCCGCAUCCGCCCCGACGCAGCCUGGCCGAUCUUUCUCGGGAGGCAGCGAGAGUUGCAGGCGCCGCGGUUGGCGUGCACGCGCUGCUCAACUGGGUCGUCGUGGCCAGGCUCUGCCGCGGCCUCCUGGGCGCGGCCAUGGUCGGCAACGCCUCCUGGUGACUCAUCAACGCGGCUCAGUUUGUGUACGUCGUCGGCGGCUCCUUCCCGGAGGCGUGGACGGGGUUCUCGCGCAAGGCGUUCGCCAGCCUCGGCGGCUUCAUCAGGCUCUGCCUCACGUCGGCAGUUAUGCUCUGGUUUUUACUUCCGUUGCUUCCUGGUCUAAUUAGUAUAUACAGACGCUUUGGGUCGUACUUCCGUUGCUUCCUAAUCUAAUUAGUAUCUACAGACGAAAUUCUUUCAUCACCCAUCAGCGCUUCUGUUUCCUUCUGAGUAGGAGUGAUUUCUGUGCUGCAGCUUAGAGAUGUGGUACUACACGGCAGUAAUUGAUGGCACGGCCGAGCAAGAGGAUUCCGGUGCUGUGCACGCACCUGAUCGGGUGGUCGUCAUUUUCUCCGCCUUGGGCAGCACCAGUUGAGCUAUAGGUUGUCAGAUCUGUUGUAUGAGGCAAUAAUGAAUAAGAACAAUAUCAGCCUUUUAAUGUGCAGGUUUAUGACUGCAUUACGGAUCUUGGUGGCUGCCUGUACAUGUCAUUUCUGUAGUUCGAUUAUGCAUUACCUGCAAUUAGUCAAGUGAUUAGUUAUUACCUGUAGUAUCUGGACCUUAUUUGGUUUGGUCAACUUAGUCAUUCAUCAUCCAUUUUUCUAAAUUUAUUGGUAUUUUUAAUAUGUCAUUUGUGUCAGCAUACUAAUGUCACAUCUUGUAAUUGUUUGUCUACCAGGAAAUCAAAUUAUUAAGCUGCCUCCGUUGCUAAUGGAUAAUGAGUAAAAACUACAUUUAUGAAUAUUAUAUGCAAAACUCUUCCUUUGUGCUGCUCCUGUGUAGAUUGGGUCAAAUAUGUAGUACAUGCACUAAUUUGGCUCAUUGCCUCGCUUCAUCGUUGUGUAGAUGCAAAACAUUUUUCCCUUGUGCUGAAUGUUUGCCACUGUUUCCAUUUUUGCUCAUUUUGAUAUAACCAAACGGACCCCAUGGAUUUGAGGUUGUCAUGCAUGUAAUGCUUGGAUAUGCCCUUAUUUGUAUCUAAAUAUAUGCAGAGCCGGUCCUGAGAUUCUAGGGGCCCGGGGCAAAACUAAAACUCGGGGCCCUUUAAUAUAACAUCAAUAGUUACUAUUACUAAUAUAUUUUUAAAUGCAUUCAAAAUCAAUAUUAUACUAGAUAACUUGUACGUAUUACCUUAACAUUUU
rnacentral:rRNA from 1 species